CAAUCCCGGGCAGGAAUCCGUUCUCGGGAGUGCUUGUCUGAUCCGAGCAGGAAAGCUGGUACUGAAGAAACUGUAAACCCUCUGAGAAGUGAAGGUGUUACUUGGGAAACUUUCUCACUGCUUAGAGAGAAACAGUAGGCUACAGGUCCUGUUCCUGAAUCACACAGCACAAGGCUCUCUCUCC